UUAGUACGAGAGGACCGGGAAGGACGCACCGCUGGUGUACCUGUUAUCGUGCCAACGGUAAACGCAGGGUAGCCAAGUGCGGAGCGGAUAACCGCUGAAAGCAUCUAAGUGGGAAGCCCACCUCAAGAUGAUUGCUCUCACAGGGUUAACCUGGUAAGGUCACGGGAAGACCACCCGUUAAUAGGCACUCGGUGGAAGUCCAGCAAUGGAUGAAGCCAAGGUGUACUAACAGACCGAGGGCUUGACCUUU
rnacentral:rRNA from 1 species